rnacentral:rRNA from 1 species
AUACGUAGGGGGCGAGCGUUGUCCGGAAUGAUUGGGCGUAAAGGGCGCGUAGGCGGCCCGGUAAGUCUGGAGUGAAAGACCUGUUUUUAAGAUGGGAAUUGCUUGGGAUACUGUCGGGCUUGAGUUCAGGAGAGGUAAGUGGAAUUCCUAGUGUAGCGGUGGAAUGCGUAGAGAUUGGGAGGAACACCAGUGGCGAAGGCGACUUACUGGACUGUAACUGACGCUGAGGCGCGAAAGUGUGGGGAGCAAACAGGAUUAGAUACCCUGGUAGUCCACACUGUAAACGAUGAAUGCUAGGUGUAGGGGGUAUCGACCCCUUCUGUGCCGCAGUCAACACAAUAAGCAUUCCGCCUGGGGAGUACGGCCGCAAGGUUGAAACUCAAAUGAAUUGGCGGGG